UACGAGGGGGGCGAGCGUUGUUCGGAAUUAUUGGGCGUAAAGAGCGCGCAGGCGGUCGUUCAAGUCGAGUGUGAAAGCCCCCGGCUCAACUGGGGAGGGUCACUUGAUACUGAUCGACUUGAAGGCAGGAGAGGGAAGCGGAAUUCCCGGUGUAGUGGUGAAAUGCGUAGAUAUCGGGAGGAACACCAGUGGCGAAGGCGGCUUCCUGGCCUGUUCUUGACGCUGAGGCGCGAAAGCUAGGGGAGCAAACGGG
rnacentral:rRNA from 1 species